AGAGUUUGAUCCUGGCUCAGAUUGAACGCUGGCGGAAUGCUUUACACAUGCAAGUCGAGCGGCAGCGCGGGGGCAACCCUGGCGGCGAGCGGCGAACGGGUGAGUAAUGUAUCGGAACGUACCCAGUCGUGGGGGAUAACUAUCCGAAAGGAUAGCUAAUACCGCAUACGUCCUGAGGGAGAAAGCGGGGGAUCGCAAGACCUCGCGCGAUUGGAGCGGCCGAUAUCGGAUUAGCUAGUUGGUGAGGUAAAAGCUCACCAAGGCGACGAUCCGUAGCUGGUCUGAGAGGACGACCAGCCACACUGGAACUGAGACACGGUCCAGACUCCUACGGGAGGCAGCAGUGGGGAAUUUUGGACAAUGGGGGCAACCCUGAUCCAGCCAUUCCGCGUGAGUGAAGAAGGCCUUCGGG
rnacentral:rRNA from 1 species